rnacentral:misc_RNA from 1 species
GUGAAUCAUCGAAUUUUUGAACGCAAAUUGCACUCUCUUCGGAGAGUAUGCCUGUUUGAGGGUCAGACUAAAAAAAAUCGUCGUAGUCGCUGUUUCACGGUGAUAUUCGUCGGAAAUUGGGUCAUCUUAAAUCUUUGGGUUUUUUAAGUGGCUUAAAAUUUUCUUUUCGAUUCCACGAACGUUUCUAAGAUUUUACUUCUUACUCACGUUUAAGGUAUCGAUCUUUAUUAGACUUUGCCGUUGCAUCGGAUCGCGUCGAUCAAUAUUUCGUUAAU